GUUUAUGUCAGAGACAUACGGUCAGGGGAGAAAAAGCACGUGAGGCAAUGCCUCAUCUGCCAUCAUAACAUAUAUAUAACAGAAUAAGUGCUUUAAUUGGUGCUAAAAAAUUGAAUUUAUAUGCAUUCUUCUAGUCAUUGCUAUCCUCAAAGUCUCUGUACUUUGAGCAUUUCCUGUUCAAAUGCAGCGCAAGCUGCAACAUGUUGCAGCACUGAGCUCUGCCUCAUGGCUGAUUGUGCAAUCUCAUUCAAACCAGGUUACGGUUACUCAGUGUAUGUUAAUAAUGCAUUUUUUUUUUAAAUUUUAUUUAUAUUUGUAACACGGUGCAGUCAAGGCAAAUCAAGAACACCUGAUCCGUGUUUUUAUUGCGGAGGAAUCAGACAACAUAUAAGCUCCAGAUUAGCAGGUGCACUUCCUGCUGCCUGCUGCAUGCUUUCUGCUGCCCACUUCCUGCUUCCUGCUCUCAGCUGUUGCUGCUGCUGCUGUUGUUGCUGUUGCUGCUGCUGCUGCUGGUAGCCUUUGGACCUGGAAAUUGGCUAAUCUGCCACUCCUUUUUUGAACGUGUUUGACCACCUCAUCAGUGAGUGUUGCGGCCAUGAUUAUUUUUUUUACAACUACACAGUCAGUCCUGGCUGAUGUAGCAAAAAGCUAAUACCACAUGGUUGGUACAAACAUUUAAUUGUUUUUUUUAUUUUAAUCUGCUCUUUGGUUUUGUUUGAAUGCCUAACUGAUUUAAAACUAUGGUUUUCCUUGUAUCUUGGUUUACUUAUCCAUUUUUGUAGUAGUUUUCCUGCAUUUGAUGUUGGACUGCUAAAACAGCAAUUUGAUUUUGAACACUUUUCUAACCUGUUUAUGUUGCGCGCCAUUUGAAAUGAACAGGAUUAGAUUGUAAUUUGAUUAACUGUGCUUCUGAAGACAGUUUUGAUUUGAUAAAUUAAUUGAUACAUUUGAUAACUAAAAGUGCACUUUACUUUAUUAGACAUAGAACCCUUGAACUACAUAGAGUUAUGUUUUUAUAGCUUGAACUGAAUGUUAAUUUGUGCUACUUUAUUUUAUUUAUCCUUUUCCCUCAUAUUGGUUAAACUGUGUUCAUUGUGAGUCUCACUUUGAUCUUUUGUGACCCAUCCUAGGUCAGGUUUGUUUUGUUUUGUAUUUCUUCAAUUGAUGGCGAGCUACCCAACCUGAACCCACCUGGACAAUAACCACCUCUUCAAUUAUCCCAUCAAACCACAACAGAACUCAACGGAUCAUCACCACCACUCUCAUCCCAUUGAACUGCAUGAACCUGGACAAUCCAACCUCAUCCUCCUCAAACAUCAGCCUCCUUGGUUUACUGUCCCUAUUGUGUUUUUUUUUUUUUUAAGACAUCAAUUGAAUUCUUUAUAGUUGUCUUUGUGUUUCAUUCACGCACCCUGGGCUCCUUGAGACGAACUUCUUCUUUUGAAAGUCAUGAACACUCCUCCCCAGGAGCAGAGCUCCAGGUCUACUUCACUCCAGCUAAGUAAAUUUAGAAUAGGAUCUGUCAGAAUGGUCACGGGAGUUAAGGUCAACUGUGUGAAAGUUGGGCUUUUUUAAUAUGGAGGACUGGGUGUUUGGGUCCAAAGCUCACCAUACCAACUGCUGAGAUUGAUGCCCAUCCAAAUCAAUAAGCAACUGGGUCACCCGUUCUUUCAUACAGGCGGUAGCCCGGAAUACCGGUGGGCUCAGGGACCAUUUCAUGAGCGACUUUGUCACAAGAGAGGGCUACUGAGCCCAUUCCUGAGGCCUAUUUUCUGUGGUUGGUCUGGAAUGCAGGUUUCGGUCCAUAUGACAUUGACUGAUGACAUUGUAUCUAUUGAACCCUAAAUGACAGAGUGCCAUUUUUUUGGUCCUUGGGUCCUAACUUCAAUAUCUCCUGGGCCCAAUUCCCGAGUUUGCCAGCUUCUUGGUCCUUGGACCCUAACUUUACUAACGGAAGGUGUUACAUGCAGAGGGUUUGUCUAAUGUUGUUCUCCCUUCUUCCUCUGCAUGAGCUGAGCUGAGCUGCACCUCGGCUGAUUGGACACACCUGACAGCUAACGAGCAAACCAACCAGCCUCUAGAGCCAGCUACCUGGACGGCAUAAAAGCUGAGCAGGCUGACUGAGAAGGAGGCCCUCCUUCAUGCUUAUACCUGACGCUUGUGUAGCUUUGCCCUUUUGUCUCCUGGAGUGUGUGGGAGGUUGUGGACAGGUAAGAUGGGGUACCCUGUACACUCCACGUAGUUUGCCUUCUGUUAGAAACACUAGGUAAGUUGGUUGGUGCCACCCCCUGUAAGUUUUGGUCCUCAUUUAGUAGAUUAGACAGAGAGCUUUUUGUUUUCUUGUUUUAGUUUCAGAUUAGAAGUAGUUAGGCUGUGUUUUGUUUUGUUCUUUUCAUUCCUUUGGCCCAACCUUGGUCCCUACCUCCCCUCCUCCCCAUUUUGUGUUCAUUAAAUAUAUACUUUUCAUCUUCA